rnacentral:tRNA from 1 species
GCAGUGGUGGCUCAGUGGUAGAAUUCUCACCUUCUACCUGGGAGACCUGGGUUCGAUUCCGGCCAGUGCA